UAAAAUGCGUCUUCGGAAGCAAACCCCUAGUGACUUCUUAAAGCAAAUCACCCGGCCGCCAGUUGUGGUAAAAUUAAAUUCUGGAGUGGAUUAUCGAGGGGUCCUGGCUUGCCUGGGUGGCUACAUGAAUAUCGCCCUGGAGCAGACAGAAGAAUAUGUGAAUGGCCAGCUGAAGGAUAAGUACGGGGAUGCAUUUAUCAGAGGAAACAAUGUGUUGUACAUCAGCACACAGAAGAGAAGGAUGUGAAGACAACAAGAGAGCAGUACUUCUUCUAGUUGGAUAUAUUUUUUAUGAAGUUUUUUCUGGUUUUUUUUGCGACAUAAUUUGUCCUGUUUUUAUAUAGUAGUUGUUGAUUUUUUUCGCUGACAUGAGUAAGAUAAAUACGUAAAAU